AGCAGCAUGGCCUAGUGGUAAAAGCCUGGGAUUGAGAGCCAGAGGUCAUGGGUUCUAAUCCCAGUUCUACCA
rnacentral:tRNA from 1 species